CUGAGAUCAUGACCUAAGCUGAAAUCAAGAAGUCAGACUCAACGGACUGAGCCACCCAGGCGCCGGGCCCCUGAUUCUUAGGGGCAGAAAGCAGAUCGGUACUUGCUUAGACACAAGGUUUCAGGAGGAGGAACCUGUAAAAAUAAUGUGACCAGCUAAUAUAUCCUCAUGCCAGAUACUGAAUCGGAUGCAACCUAGGUGUGGGGAGGGACCAAUUUCACCCGUUAUGGAGAGACAGGCAUACUCCUGUGAGCCCCUGUGCUGGGCCAGAUCCAGCUCUACUCUUCUCCACUCUGCUUGGUGCCUAGAAGGAGGGAUGGAGACAGUACAGUAUGAUGCAUCAUCCUGGCCCCCUCCCCCCACUCUUCCCACUAGGCUUGGCCAAUGGAAGGCGCAAGUAGGAAAUUAGAGGACCGGAGAGCUAGAGUCACUGGUGUCUCCCGGUGACUGGUUUCCUACCUAGAGCCACAGGUCUGGUCAGAUGCCUCCUUUCCCAAGACUAGAGCACCCAACUGUUUGGUCCACAACUCCUUCCCCUUGUCCCUUCAGGUCUAGGGCUGAUAACAGCUUCCCACUGGGUUCUUCACCCUCCCUGGCUGAUCCUCCGCUUCUAGAUCACACCGUAGUAUGCCUAUUCCUUCUUGAAUUCAAUUAGCCCUUCCAGUUAGCAAUCCCCUCCCUGCUGCCGCUCUGACCCACACACCUUCAUAGCCCCCAAGCAUGGUCCUCUUCUACUGUCUCUAUCUCCCCAAAGCCCCCAGUUUGCUGAUACACCCACGUUGGCCUUGGCUCUCCUUCUGUUUCUCUGAUUCUUCCACCCCAGGCUCCUGUUUCCAUCAUUUGUCCUUUGGCCAAGUCAGUGCUGAUGACAUUGCUCUGUCCAAAAUGGAAGUCAUCUCCUCUCCUGGAACACAUCUCCUCUACUGUUCUUCCCUACUCAUUUACUGUCAUCACCACCCUCCCAGACACGAAGCCUUGAAAACUAGGUGACAGCUCACCUCUUCCCCAGAGAAACCCAAGGGGAGUCACUCACAAAGCCUCCCAUAUAAACACAUUUUUAAGAAAAGGUGAAACCAGCGAGCUAGCUAUGCAAAUGUAGCCUCAAGGCAAUCAUCCCUCCAUCACAUUGUCCCCCUUAAAUCCUUCCUCUAUAGUUUCUGACCCCACCAGUGCCUCCUCCCUCCCCCCAUUCCCUACAUCCAAUCAUAUUCCCAUAACGUCCCAGAGGACAAGAAUGUUCUCUUCAUUCCUUUGUAGGC